rnacentral:rRNA from 1 species
CAGCACCUCAAGUGGUCAGGAUGAUUAUUGGGCCUAAAGCAUCCGUAGCCGGCGCUGUAAGUUUUCGGUUAAAUCUGUACGCUCAACGUACAGGCUGCAGGGAAUACUGCAGCGCUAGGGAGUGGGAGAGGUAGACGGUACUCGGUAGGAAGGGGUAAAAUCCUUUGAUCUAUUGAUGACCACCUGUGGCGAAGGCGGUCUACCAGAACACGUCCGACGGUGAGGGAUGAAAGCUGGGGGAGCAAACCGGAUUAGAUACCCGAGUAGUCC